rnacentral:rRNA from 1 species
GAGCUUGCUUGUGUAGGAUAGGUGGGAGGCUUUGAAGCGUGGACGCCAGUCUGCGUGGAGCCAUCCUUGAAAUACCACCCUGGCAAUCUUGAGGUUCUAACUCUGGUCCGUUAUCCGGAUCGAGGACAGUGUAUGGUGGGCAGUUUGACUGGGGCGGUCUCCUCCUAAAGAGUAACGGAGGAGUACGAAGGUGCGCUCAGACCGGUCGGAAAUCGGUCGUAGA